UGCGUAGGCGGCUUUUUAAGUCGGAUGUGAAAUCCCUGAGCUUAACUUAGGAAUUGCAUUCGAUACUGGAAAGCUAGAGUAUGGGAGAGGAUGGUAGAAUUCCAGGUGUAGCGGUGAAAUGCGUAGAGAUCUGGAGGAAUACCGAUGGCGCAGGCAGCCAUCUGGCCUAAUACUGACGCUGAGGUACGAAAGUAUGGGGAGCAAAACGGAUUAGAUACCCCCGUA
rnacentral:rRNA from 1 species